GGAAAGGAUGUAGUUCAGUAGUAGAACAUCUGCUUCUCAUGCAGAAGGUCCCAGAUUCAAUCCCAGCAUCUCCA